UAAGCGCGACCUUGGCCACCCGCGCUACGGCUGGCGAGCGACAGCGCUGUGAAGGUCGGUGAGCUCUGCCUAGCCUGGACGCCGUCGUGUGGGGGCUCCCAUGAGCGUUCGACGAACGCGGUGGCGUGUGGGAGCGCGAGGAGUCAUUCGAGAUCAGCAGCCCGAGCUUCACGAAGCUCCUUUGCGGCGCCAUGAGAAAUCUUUAUUCCCCAGCUGUAACCGCUGCCCAACGCCAACCCGCAGGCAAUGGUUUGUCUUCUACCUUCGAUCAGCCGUAAGCGAAGAACACUCCCCGACAAGAUCUCACCUUCUCUUGUUACUUGGAUGGUGACCAGCGAGGACCUCGCCCAGAUUCACAUAUCCUAGGAGGAGAAGGACAAGCUGGUGGCCGAGGUGAUGCGCUACGUGCUUUUCAAGAUGCAACAGACCUACGGCAAACCUACGAAGGCAAGUGAAGGGGAUCAGAUUAGUUGUGUUGUUUUAGGAUAACUUCAUGGUCCGAUGUUCCUGGUUUCUUCUGUUGGAGAACCUGGCGAACUCCGGUCGCCGGCGUUCACACAAACGCUCUCAAGAACACACUCUAGCGUACAGGAUUACAACCAACAAUCUCCUCCUAAUCCUGACGCAGAUACUUGAUGUUGAUGACGCCGAUCCUCUCACAUAGUUCCUGGAACUUCACGUGAGCUAGCGACUUCGUCAGUACGUCCGCGAGCUGAUCACCGGUAGAAAUCUGCUCGAGAACAAUCCUCCCAACAUCCACACGCUCCCUGGUGUAAUGAUAUUUGACAUCA